UACACACAGGCACAUGGAGACAUUAAUUGAUCCCGCUGCAGCAAAAGCCGGAAGAAAGGCUAGACACUGUGGAAGUUACCCCGUGGCCUCUACCCACACACAAAUGAAUAGGCUACUCAUAUAUUACAGCACCGCACACUUCAAUUAGGCAGCAGCUACGGCGGUUCAAGGACUGAGGCAUGGCAGAGGAUCUUCACAGAGGAGCAGGAGGCGUCGACGGAAGAGAGGUCUCCAGUGCCAUUCCACUCUGCUUUGCUUGUGUUCUCCUGAGUCCCUCCACGCUGGGUCUCUUCGACCCUCCUUCCCUGCCUGCUUACCUACCUGGCAUCCACCUUCCAGCACCAGUUUGUACAAUAAAUCUUCACUUCAC